AGGCUGACCGUAACGUUCAUGUGAGGUUGGAGACUUUGAGAGACUACUCGGAGAAUCUGGGUGUCGUUCAGCCAAGACUUGACCACUGUGGGAUAAGAACAGCCCAGGUCCCAAAGGCACCAGAAGCACACACAGCCGGGUGCAAGGUGUCUAUUGUAUCUGUAGCAGAAUUUGGUCUUCUUUCAAGAGUUUGUUACGUCUGCUGUGGUCUGCUCUGAACUCAAAGGCGU
rnacentral:lncRNA from 1 species